rnacentral:rRNA from 1 species
UACGUAGGGGGCAAGCGUUGUCCGGAUUUACUGGGCGUAAAGAGCGUGUAGGCGGCCACGCAGGUCCGUUGUGAAAACUGGAGGCUCAACCUUCAGACGUCGACGGAAACCGUGUGGCUAGAGUCCGGAAGAGGAGAGUGGAAUUCCUGGUGUAGCGGUGAAAUGCGCAGAUAUCAGGAAGAACACCGAUGGCGAAGGCAGUGUUCUGGGCCAGUACUGACGCUGAGGAGCGAAAGCGUGGGGAGCAAACAGG